AAUGGUCUGUAACAUAAAAGCAAAAGACAAAACAAAGCAAUAACAAAAAAAGGCAAUUGAAAAGAGCAAAAAUAAUUAAAUAAAAUGUAAAGACCAUUCCAAACCCCCCACCCCCAUGGUCACAAAAAGAGCUGAAAUCCAUUUUACCCAGCCACUGUAACUGAACUAUGGUGGCACACACAUCUGUGCAAGCUGGAUGUCAUUCAGACCAGUAAGUAUGUGCCUAGAGGAGGUUCAAACUAGAACUGGAGACCAGAGGGAAGAACCUGCUACAGCUGACCUGUUGCCACAAGAAAAAAUGUCAAGCCCAUUUUUCAUAAAUAUAGCAGAUUUAUAUAUUUACUUUACUCUUCGCAGAACUAUUUGACACAUGUACAAAGACCAAUGCCCAAAGUAUUGUACACUAUAGCAGCUCCCUGGCUUCACCCAUAUUUUAUUGUUUAUCAUAAACAGAAUGUAAUUCACGCCUUUGUAAUUUAGAACAGUAAGCCAGAGACUUAAUUCUGUCAGUGGAUUCCAUGUGCAAGUUUUGCCUUAUAGUAGUGUUGUGUACAAGAGGAUCAACUAAAAAACAGUAAGUGAUUUUUUUUUUUUUUUUUUUCCCCCCCACCUCACAUUAUGCAAAUAGACACAUUGUGCCUUGGACCCAGCUCCCAAUGUCCCAUCUUUUAUUAAGACUAAAUCUUUAAAAAUAAAUAAAUAAAUAAAAAUCUGAAAGUUUUCUUCAGUGUAUAUUUUUAUCUUUCUAAUACUUGGUGUUUUCAUUUUCAGUUCAGCCAUGGAGCUCUUGGGCAAAUGAAAAGUGGAACCUCAAAUUCACCUUGUAACAUUUUUAUAAAGGCCACUAUCUCUGGACCCCCAAGAUCAGCAGCAUGGCCAACAACAAUCAAACCUCACUUGCUUGACUUGUCCUGAUGGGAUCCCCCAGAAAAUGAUCUCAUAUUGUCUGUUUUAAGCCACAGGUUUUAAAAACGUUGUUCAAGAAAAAUGGUGACAAAACGUACAUUUUGCAUAGCUUUAGCAUGAAUUUGAUGCAGAACUUUUAUAUUCCAGUCAAUCUCAAAGACACCUCUUAGUUGUUGUAGUUUGCAUAGCUGUAUUAAUCAUUUACAUAUAUAGUAUGUUAAUGUUUUAUACAUGGGUCUUUUUUUUAACAUGUAAAUAAGACCAAUUACAUUACUUGAGCUGAGCAGUUCAUUGUUUACUCCAAUAUGUUGAAAUUAUUUGCAGUGGAGUGGGUUGGGUGUUUAUCCUUUUAACCAGUACGACUCUAUUAAUACAACUAUCUUUACUUGCUAUCAAUGUUAUAACUUUUCUCAAAUGUCAUGGAUUUUGUUAGUCUUGUAUUUUUUAGGAUGCAUAAAAUGGAAAAAAUAAUUUGUUUUUACACUUUGUCCUUUCAGCAUUUGUUAUUGAUGAUAAUAUUUGUACUUUUGACAGCUGCGGGUUUAGGCAAACUUUCUGAAAUCUGGUUAUGAGCCUUUCAGCAGCUUUGUCAUUUAUCCAUCAGCAUUCACUAUUAAAUAGUGCCAGACUAAUCUGGCCCCUCA